AACAAGCCACCAUGUCUGUUCCAGUCACUUAUGAACAGUUCCUAAUGACCUUUCAUGUAUAGUACCUUUCAGAGUAUCUCCAACAUCUGAAGGAGAUGGAGUUUGCACACUUGGUCUAGGGGGACAUGAUUGUAUCAGAAUAUGCUCGCAAAUUCCUAGAGUUAGGCUGGUAUUCCCUUGAGAGCAUGAUGGAUAAAGGUAUAAAGACUAGAAGGUUCGAGUGGGGUCUCUGUCCUGAGAUCAGACAGCAAUUGUAUGUGCUCAAGUUCAAUACUUAUUCGGCUGCUCUGGCUGAGACACAGUUAGUGGAGAGG
rnacentral:lncRNA from 1 species